AGACCCGACGCGACUGACAGAUAA
rnacentral:miRNA from 1 species